rnacentral:rRNA from 1 species
GACGAACGCUGGCGGCGUGCCUAAUACAUGCAAGUAGAACGCACAGUUUAUACCGUAGCUUGCUACACCAUAGCCUGUGAGUUGCGAACGGGUGAGUAACGCGUAGGUAACCUGCCUGGUAGCGGGGGAUAACUAUUGGAAACGAUAGCUAAUACCGCAUAAUAUUAAUUAUUGCAUGAUAAUUAAUUGAAAGGUGCAAUUGCACCACUACCAGAUGGACCUGCGUUGUAUUAGCUAGUAGGGGAGGUAACGGCUCACCUAGGCGACGAUACAUAGCCGACCUGAGAGGGUGAUCGGCCACACUGGGACUGAGACACGGCCCAGACUCCUACGGGAGGCAGCAGUAGGGAAUCUUCGGCAAUGGACGAAAGUCUGACCGAGCAACGCCGCGUGAGUGAAGAAGGGUUUCGGAUCGUAAAGCUCUGUUGUAAGAGAAGAACGGGUGUGAGAGUGGAAAGUUCACACUGUGACGGUAUCUUACCAGAAAGGGACGGCUAACUACGUG